GUGUUUUCAGACGGUGCAAGAGUUCUCAGGUGUGCUGGGUGACAGGUGCGACUUAUUCUACUGAUUACUUUGAGGAGUACUUAAGCAGGAGGCUGCCAGCACUUUGACAGAGUGUUUGCCCUCAGUGGCUAAGUAAACCUAAGUCCUGGAUUUAUGUCACUGAAUACUGUCUACAUGUCCGGGAGGCUUUCUGGAUGAUCAAGACUAUCUACGUUUUGAGGACUUCGUUUCCUAUCUCCUGUCUUCAUUUGUAUUUGCAUCAAGCUGGCAGUUUCCUGCAACCUUUGUCUCCUGGACCAAGCCGUAAGCGUACCCUGUCCACCCUCCAACGUAAGCAUCUGCACACCGAACUCAUUCCUGUUUGCUCCGAGCUCACACAGAACAGCACCUAAAGGACCUUCUACAAACUCUAAUUCAACAAACCUGGUUCCUGAAUCCUUCUACCCCUGGCGACCUGACCACACCUAUUUAUUGGAGAAUCAUCCGUUACGUUCCUGAUUAUCUUUCUCUCAAUAAACAUCCUUUACUUCUUCUGUUCUCUGGAGUGUUCUCUGUAUGUGGGUCAGAUCUAUUGCAAACAAAAUGACAAUAUCUUCCUACUGGAUUAUAAACC